CCGCAUUGACGCUAACCAAACUAACAAAUCGAAACACUUAUUUGGAGGUGCGUUACUGAUUUGCAGCUAUUUAAUAUUGAUCAAGGUUUCAACAUAACGUAGAUUAUACCUGGGAUAUUCAGUGAUGUUUUACUAUUUCGACGAUUAUUUAUUUUGAAAAAAUGUUUGUUUAAUGAAGAUGAAAUGUAGAAUUUAAGCGUCGAUUAAGAAAAGUUCUCAGAAAGAUUACAGCAAGUAUUAAACAAGUGAUUGAAUGGCAGAUUCUAAUGUUUAUUACUUCAUGGACCAAGAAAAUAUGAUCUUUAGCUGACAAGUUCUUAUCAAGUUAUAUAUGUGAAAAAAUUGGUGUAUUAAAAAUUUUUAGAAACCACAAUACUAAAUUGGAAUUAAAACGUGAUAUUCAAAAUACCUUACACCAUCAAGGAGAUAAUAAACUACAUCAUGUGCUAAUAGAGGAGGCUAUAGAACAAGGAUAUAAGAAUGGAAAAGUUGCUGCUCAGUUUAACUUCGGAGCUUCUGCAGGCGAAUGCAGAAACGAUCUAUUGUAUCAUAAGAUUAGGAUAUUUCUGAUAACUAUCAGAUUCUUUUUCAUUUGAUGGAAUUAGGCACCAUAAUAAAUAAAAAUAUAAUUAACUUUAGAAUCAUAACAUCGGCUUAUAUUGUUUUAGAUAUCACUGAUCGUUUUGUAAUCGCCUUCAGUGGGGUCGAUUCUUUUGAAGUAUGUCACAUAUCUUCUUUGGCUGCGCAUGUUAUCCGAGGUUUCUUCCACCAAUGAAACAUUUUUUUUUUCUCAUUGUAAUUUUUGUUAUUUUCCAAUAUUUUAUGGAAAGAAAUCAACUAAAUUUUAAUGGUCAUAUUUAUUAUUUUUCUAUCGUUCUUAAUACUUUACCAUAUUUCUGUGUGAAAGUCUCAUAAAUAGACAGUUUCAUUACAUGAAACGAAUUUCUAAAUAUGCUAUUAAACAAUUACUUAGUAUUAAUUUAAGCUGCAGUGUGUUUGUUUGGUUUUACAUUGUAGAAGACUUUUUUUUUUAUUUAAUACACAAAAUGACCAUGUCUUUAAACUAUAUAUAAUUUUU